AAAACUCAAAUGAAUUGACGGGGGCCCGCACAAGCGGUGGAGCAUGUGGUUUAAUUCGAUGCAACGCGAAGAACCUUACCUGGUCUUGACAUCCACGGAAGUUUUCAGAGAUGAGAAUGUGCCUUCGGGAACCGUGAGACAGGUGCUGCAUGGCUGUCGUCAGCUCGUGUUGUGAAAUGUUGGGUUAAGUCCCGCAACGAGCGCAACCCUUAUCCUUUGUUGCCAGCGG
rnacentral:rRNA from 1 species